AACAUCGCGCACCUGCGGGAACCUGCGGAAGGAUCAUUAAAAAGAGUGUGUACCCCUCUGUAAAAUGAGUGGGUUACCUCCCGUCCUUUGUUGACCUCUUAGGAGGUUAUUUUGAACUUUCUGCUUCGGUGGGGUUAAACCUACCGGAACACCCUCAAAUUCUUAUCAUUUAAAAAUUGUUCAGUCUGAUUUUUGUUAAUAAAAACAAAAAACUUUCAGCAACGGAUCUCAGAUCGGAAG
rnacentral:misc_RNA from 1 species